rnacentral:pre_miRNA from 1 species
UCCAAAUGAUACUUCUUCUAACAUUGCUGCACUGUUGCCAACAGUGCAGCAAUGUUGGCCAAUAGUGCAGCAAUGUUAGAAGAAGUAUCAUUAGGAA